rnacentral:rRNA from 1 species
AGCGAACGUUAGCGGCGGGCCUAACACAUGCAAGUCGAGCGAGAAAGGGGCUUCGGCCUCGAGUAGAGCGGCGGACGGGUGAGGAACACGUAGGUAAUCUGCCCUUCGAUGGAGGACAACGGUCCGAAAGGACCGCUAAUACUGCAUACGUUCCCCGGGAUUCCGGUCCUGGGGAGGAAAGCCUCGCAAGGGGCGUCGGAGGAGGAGCCUGCGUCGCAUCGGCUAGUUGGUGGGGUAACAGCCUACCAAGGCGAGACGCGUAGCUGGUCUGAGAGGAUGAUCAGCCACACUGGGACUGAGACACGGCCCAGACUCCUACGGGAGGGCAGCAGUGGGGAAUAUUGGACAAUGGGCGCAAG